UUAGUAUAGCAUGCCAAACUGACCCCUUGGUGCCAGAGUGUUCCUGUGCUGCGGUAGAGCUCAAGGCCCAGCUAGAUAGCGCUCACUGAGAUCAGUGAAGACCAGAACUACACCACAGAUGAAGCUGACGGAGAGUGAGAUCAGUGAAGACCAGAACUACACCACAGAUGGAGCCGAUGGAGAGAGAGAGAUCAGUGAAGACCAGAACUACACCACAGAUGGAGCCGAUGGAGAGAGAGAGAUCAGUGAAGACCAGAACUACACCACAGAUGGAGCCGAUGGAGAGAGAGAGAUCAGUGAAGACCAGAACUCUCUGUAUGAACCUGAGAGCUCAGAAGCCAAGACAUACUUUUGAAGAUGAAAGAUCCACAAUACAUAGUCUGAUAGAAAGCUUAAGGAGUUCAAUGUCAAUGUCUGCAAUGAGCCAGGAUGUCGAGCAGGUGUCAUCAGUUCAUCCCUGAAAAUACAUGGUUUUGCCAUCACCAUGGAGACCGUGUGUUGUGGGCCACAGGAGGAAGUGGGAUCCCCAGACCAGAGUGGGAAAGUUGUUUGCAGGGAAUCUGUUGGUGCCAUCAGCAGCCUUCUUUACUGGCGGGCUCCUGCUCCAUAUUUGUGGAAACAUGUCACCUCCUCAGUCUGGUGUCCAUGUCUCUGUGACGGUUCACAAGCCAACAGCACCAUGUGCCAGAGGUUAACUACAUGUUGACCCAGCACACAGAGGCCAUUCUGGAUACAGUUGGUGACAGUCCACUAAUCGUAUCUGGAGACGCACGGUGUGAUUCACCCGGCCGUUGUGCCUCCGUUGGCUCUUACACCAUCUCAACUUCCCCCAGGAGACUGUUCUUCCGUUGGCUCUUACACCAUCCUGGACUCUGCUUCCCAGGAGACUGUUCUUCCGUUGGCUCUUACACCAUCCUGGACUCUGCUUCCCAGGAGACUGUUCUUCCGUUGGCUCUUACACCAUCCUGGACUCUGCUUCCCAGGAGACUGUUCUUCCGUUGGCUCUUACACCAUCCUGGACUCUGCUUCCCAGGAGACUGUUCUUCCGUUGGCUCUUACACCAUCCUGGACUCUGCUUCCCACCUGAUCCUCCCCCAGGAGACAGUUCUUCCGUUGGCUCUUACACCAUCCUGGACUCUGCUUCCCACCUGAUCCUCCCCCAGGAGACUGUGCAUGCGAUGUGAGGAAUAGUUACUGUUUGGAGACAGAGGGAUUAGAGAGAUGUCUGCAACACAUUGAGGCCCAUGGAUGCAGUAUUCAAACCCUGGCCACUGACAGGCAUCCAAGUGUGAGGGUGACCUUGAGGGACUCACCUGCUGAUAUCUGGCAUGAGCAUGACCUGUGACCUGGUGGCCGUUGGGAAGCCAGAGGACAAUCCCAGCAGACUCUCCUGAGUGCCCAAAGAGAGAGAGUGCCCAUCACUUUGGGGCGGUGGGCUGGUGUUCCGAAAAUGGAUAAGGAGCAGGCCAUUCAACAGCGAAUUCAAAGAUACACACAUCUAUAAAUACAUAAAUGUACAGUGCCUUGCAAAAGUAUUCCUCCCCCAUGGCGUUUUUCCUAUUUUGUUGCAU